rnacentral:rRNA from 1 species
AAGAAAUCAACCGAGAUUCCCCCAGUAGCGGCGAGCGAACGGGGAGGAGCCCAGAGCCUGAAUCAGUGUGUGUGUUAGUGGAAGCGUCUGGAAAGGCGCGCGAUACAGGGUGACAGCCCCGUACACAAAAAUGCACAUAUUGUGAGCUCGAUGAGUAGGGCGGGACACGUGGUAUCCUGUCUGAAUAUGGGGGGACCAUCCUCCAAGGCUAAAUACUCCUGACUGACCGAUAGUGAACCAGUACCGUGAGGGAAAGGCGAAAAGAACCCCGGCGAGGGGAGUGAAAAAGAACCUGAAACCGUGUACGUACAAGCAGUGGGAGCCUCUUAAUGGGGUGACUGCGUACCUUUUGUAUAAUGGGUCAGCGACUUAUAUUCUGUAGCAAGGUUAACCGAAUAGGGGAGCCGAAGGGAAACCGAGUCUUAACUGGGCGUUAAGUUGCAGGGUAUAGACCCGAAACCCGGUGAUCUAGCCAUGGGCAGGUUGAAGGUUGGGUAACACUAACUGGAGGACCGAACCGACUAAUGUUGAAAAAUUAGCGGAUGACUUGUGGCUGGGGGUGAAAGGCCAAUCAAACCGGGAGAUAGCUGGUUCUCCCCGAAAGCUAUUUAGGUAGCGCCUCGUGAAUUCAUCUCCGGGGGUAGAGCACUGUUUCGGCAAGGGGGUCAUCCCGACUUACCAACCCGAUGCAAACUGCGAAUACCGGAGAAUGUUAUCACGGGAGACACACGGCGGGUGCUAACGUCCGUCGUGAAGAGGGAAACAACCCAGACCGCCAGCUAAGGUCCCAAAGUCAUGGUUAAGUGGGAAACGAUGUGGGAAGGCCCAGACAGCCAGGAUGUUGGCUUAGAAGCAGCCAUCAUUUAAAGAAAGCGUAAUAGCUCACUGGUCGAGUCGGCCUGCGCGGAAGAUGUAACGGGGCUAAACCAUGCACCGAAGCUGCGGCAGCGACACUAUGUGUUGUUGGGUAGGGGAGCGUUCUGUAAGCCUGUGAAGGUGGCCUGUGAGGGUUGCUGGAGGUAUCAGAAGUGCGAAUGCUGACAUAAGUAACGAUAAAGCGGGUGAAAAGCCCGCUCGCCGGAAGACCAAGGGUUCCUGUCCAACGUUAAUCGGGGCAGGGUGAGUCGACCCCUAAGGCGAGGCCGAAAGGCGUAGUCGAUGGGAAACAGGUUAAUAUUCCUGUACUUGGUGUUACUGCGAAGGGGGGACGGAGAAGGCUAUGUUGGCCGGGCGACGGUUGUCCCGGUUUAAGCGUGUAGGCUGGUUUUCCAGGCAAAUCCGGAAAACCAAGGCUGAGGCGUGAUGACGAAGCACUACGGUGCUGAAGCGACAAAUGCCCUGCUUCCAGGAAAAGCCUCUAAGCAUCAGGUAACAUCAAAUCGUACCCCAAACCGACACAGGUGGUCAGGUAGAGAAUACCAAGGCGCUUGAGAGAACUCGGGUGAAGGAACUAGGCAAAAUGGUGCCGUAACUUCGGGAGAAGGCACGCUGAUAUGUAGGUGAAGCGACUUGCUCGUGGAGCUGAAAUCAGUCGAAGAUACCAGCUGGCUGCAACUGUUUAUUAAAAACACAGCACUGUGCAAACACGAAAGUGGACGUAUACGGUGUGACGCCUGCCCGGUGCCGGAAGGUUAAUUGAUGGGGUUAGCGGUAACGCGAAGCUCUUGAUCGAAGCCCCGGUAAACGGCGGCCGUAACUAUAACGGUCCUAAGGUAGCGAAAUUCCUUGUCGGGUAAGUUCCGACCUGCACGAAUGGCGUAAUGAUGGCCAGGCUGUCUCCACCCGAGACUCAGUGAAAUUGAACUCGCUGUGAAGAUGCAGUGUACCCGCGGCAAGACGGAAAGACCCCGUGAACCUUUACUAUAGCUUGACACUGAACAUUGAGCCUUGAUGUGUAGGAUAGGUGGGAGGCUUUGAAGUGUGGACGCCAGUCUGCAUGGAGCCGACCUUGAAAUACCACCCUUUAAUGUUUGAUGUUCUAACGUGGGCCCCUAAUCGGGGUUGCGGACAGUGUCUGGUGGGUAGUUUGACUGGGGCGGUCUCCUCCUAAAGAGUAACGGAGGAGCACGAAGGUUGGCUAAUCCUGGUCGGACAUCAGGAGGUUAGUGCAAUGGCAUAAGCCAGCUUGACUGCGAGCGUGACGGCGCGAGCAGGUGCGAAAGCAGGUCAUAGUGAUCCGGUGGUUCUGAAUGGAAGGGCCAUCGCUCAACGGAUAAAAGGUACUCCGGGGAUAACAGGCUGAUACCGCCCAAGAGUUCAUAUCGACGGCGGUGUUUGGCACCUCGAUGUCGGCUCAUCACAUCCUGGGGCUGAAGUAGGUCCCAAGGGUAUGGCUGUUCGCCAUUUAAAGUGGUACGCGAGCUGGGUUUAGAACGUCGUGAGACAGUUCGGUCCCUAUCUGCCGUGGGCGCUGGAGAACUGAGGGGGGCUGCUCCUAGUACGAGAGGACCGGAGUGGACGCAUCACUGGUGUUCGGGUUGUCAUGCCAAUGGCACUGCCCGGUAGCUAAAUGCGGAAGAGAUAAGUGCUGAAAGCAUCUAAGCACGAAACUUGCCCCGAGAUGAGUUCUCCCUGACUCCUUGA